rnacentral:lncRNA from 1 species
UAGUGUGGCAAGGUGAGUGUUUAAGAUUGUCUGCCAAGUUAUUACAGUGCAGUCACUCUCCUGUCACCUAGCAGUAUUUCUAAACAAAGCACUAGAAAACACUGCUACUUGCUGCCUAGUACUUCUGGAGGUCAAAAGCACUCAUAAACUGCUAAUAGUAAUAAAUAUUGUCUUAUUUAUCUAGUAUGGUCAGGGAAAACUUUUUGAAGAGUUCAUUAACUUUUUUCUCUCUUCUGGUAUUAGAAAUUUGUAAGUUAAUAUAGUUCUUAAGAGAAUACUUAAUUGACAGGGUCACCUGGUAUAGUUUAGGGUAGCACAAGCUGUCUGUUUUUCUGCCUCAAGUUCCUGAGUUCUUGGAUUACAGGCAUGCUGUGAAAUACCCAGUUUUUGAUCUUCCUUAACAGGCUUUAGUAUCUAUCUAUAACUGCACAUUUAAAACGCUUUCUUUCAAAUGUCAGAAUAGUGGAGUGGUCCAAGGAGUUAUUUUUAAAGUUAUCACUGUUAUAUAUUUUCAUUUUUUGAAAUUUUAAAGUUAUCACUCUUAUAUAUUCUCAAUUUUGAAACUGAGACUAGUUUCAUUCCAUGGCUUCUGUAUUAUGUCUGCAUUUAUUGCAUAUAUAUAAUGUUUUCCCGUAGUUUAACUUAUUGUCACUGGCCUUUGUGCAGUCUGAACACACACACACACACACUUUGUGGUGGAAGUCUGGAUUGUUGUUGCACGUGGUUCCUUGUGGAAUAUUGUAGAAGGUGUAGCAGUACUUAAUGAUGCCUUUUGAGACCACUGAAGUGACUUUGUCUUGGCUUUCACUAAAAUACUUGCUCCUACUGAUGAGAAUGGAAAGUGGUAAUCGUCCUGUUGUAGCAUCUAUGUGCUGUUUUUGUGUAGUGCUCAAUGACUUGUUUUUCUUAUGCUCAGAAUUUACCUAUUUUUAUUUUUAUUAACUUAAUAGUUUUUAUUUUAAAGUAAUAUUAGUAUUAUAGCCCUUACAGUUAUUCUUAUGCUUGUCUUUAGGAUGGUUGCUGUGUUUUUUCACUUUGCAUAAGCCAUUCAGUAAAAAAGUUAAUGUAUUUAUACAAAUAACUACUAUUUAAGGAUUAAAUUUUACACCUAACAUAUGGAAGAACAAACAGAUGCUUGAUACAUCAUAUUUUUGUGUCAGUCUUUUCUAAUGUUGUGAAUAGAAUACUGAAGAAAGGUGUACAGGCCCUGAAUAUAAGCAUGUGGCAAGUCAUCUGAAACUUUAAGUAGGAAUUUGGGAAAUAGGAAGAUAUAGAAAGUGAUAAAGUAAACUACUGUUGUUUUAUAUUCAUUAAAAAUACGUUAUUCUUGAAGUUUCUCAACAUGGGGAAAAAAAAAAAACCCCGAAAACAGUCAACAGUGGAGUUGAUGAAUCUUUGUAUGUUCGAUUCCCAUUAUUCUACAUCAUUGCGUGUAGCUUUUUACUACCUGGCCUAUGCUCCAGGAAUGGGCCACACUACCAACCCCCUCCCAGUUUCCCUUGAAUCCACAGACUAAAGACACACACAGUUGUUCAUUUUCAACUUGCCUUCUUGGCACAAUUGCUAGGUGCUAUCUCCUGCCUGGAAAACGUGCCUUUAUCAUUUCUCUUAGCUCUUAGCUUUGGUCCUCCUACCUGCCCUAACUUUAGUUGGUCAGUUGAAGGUAGUCCUGGCUAAACAUCUCUGAUCACCCACCUAUUGGAGUGGCCACCACCCACUGCUCCUCCUGAAACCUCACACUGGCCACCUGGGUCUCUCUCUGAAGCAUGGCGAAGAACUCUGCCUCUCCUUCCUUGUGUCUCCCUGCUUGCCUCCAGGGACCUGGAGAUCCCACCUGUACUUUCUACCCAGCAAUUGGCCCAUGGUUUUCUUUACUGACAGGACAGAUCAAGAACUAAUUUGGGAACAGGACCUUAGCAUCAUAACUACCCCUAGAGUCCAUAAUUAAUGUAGCUGUUUGCAAGUCCUUGACAGAUUAGCUGAAGUUUGGUUCAUUUAUCUUAAAAUUGUCUCACUGUUUCUGUAACUGUAUGCAAGGUAAUUUUGGUGGAUAUAUCUGCUUUACCUAAUACACCUGUUUCUUUUUAGCUUUACAGUAUAUAAUCUGAUAUUUGGUAUUUAAAAGACCCUGCAGUAAAUAUUUAUUAAAUACAUAUAUAGGAUUUACAGAUAUUUCUGUUUGAGCUAUAUAAAUAUACAUGUGUACACACUGAGAGACAAGUAUGCAUACUCUGGAAUGAAAUCAUUGAAGAAUGAUCAUAAGACAUGAAAUCUUAAAUAUACAUGAUAGGUUAAAUUGAAUAGGUUAUAUUUAUGCUGCUCCUUUUAUAGAUAUUCACCAAUUUGUUCUUGUUUUGGACUUAACAUUCAAAUAUAACGUUAAGCUCGGUAAAGCACUGAUUUAGAUCUUUGUAUAGUUUAGAAUGAACCAGUGUUUGGUAUAGAAAUAGUUUGGACAAAAAUGAAUUUUACACAAAUGUUCAUAUUUUGAAAGACAUAACAGGCUUUUAUAGUGUGCAUUUUUUUGUAUAACGUACAAGGUUUGGACACAACUAAACAUGUUUUUAGUCAUACAGUAUGAAAUGUACUAAAUGACUUAUAAACUUAUUGCUAACAAAGUUAUUCAGAAGACUAACACAAACCAAUAUAUAAACCAACCUUGACCUUAAGGCAAUUUCCUAAGAAGCCAAAAGUCUGAAAUGUAAACAAACAUUUUUCUCAUAAUAUUUGACCCAUGUACAAAUUAUCCUUUUUCUUUGUUGUUGUUGUCAUUUUUUGGUUCCUUCCCUUCAACACUUUCCACAUCUCCCCACCUCCACACUUUCUCAAAUUCAUGGCUUGUUUUCCUUUUUAUUAGUGUUACACUCAUACCACUUGUUUAUAUAUAAAUGCAUAACUACAUAAAUACAGCCUGCCAAGUCCAUUUAGUGUUGCUUGUAUGUGUAUUACUGCUUGUUACUGGAUAGCCAGUCAGGGCGCUCGUCGCAGGGGAAGACCCAAGUCUCCCUACUUGAGCAGCCAUUUGGAAUUCUGUCAAGUAGAUUGUGACCUAAUGAGAUUCCAUGGAAUAAGGAUCUAAAUUUAUUAUAAUUCCAGUAAUUUAACACCAUCAUGCCCACAAUUCAGUGGUUAAGUUAGAAAUGUAAUUGUACUAUCUCUAAAACCCAGGUAAGGAGAAUGAGUUAGAUAUUAAUUUGUGUUUUAUUUCUUAAACUGUCAGGUAGCUUUUCCGGUGGUUAUUUGCUUUACUGAUUCUUUAUCUUAAUGUAUAAGUAAAAUGAUUUAAUUUACCAAAACGCUAUUUGAACAAACUGUUUAGGAAGUCAGUUACACAGGUUGAGGCUCAUCUGAGGUUGUUAAAACAUAUUACUGAAUAAUUUCUCUUUGCUAUAUAAAUAUUCUGGCAUUUAGCAAAAUUAACUAAUACCCUAAGAAGCUGAUCUAAAUGAAUAUGAAUAUAUCAUUUCCAUUACUUCCCCAGUCUGAGUUUGAAAGUUCUUAGAAAUUUGGAAUUCAAAUAACUCCUAAAAAGGAAAGAAUUCUUCCUGUAAUUAUUCUUCCUCUCCCCCCUCUCCUGUGAAAAGAUGUGUUUAUUUUAGAUAAAUAUUCCAAGGUCUCUUCUGUAAUUGUGUCCUUACU